rnacentral:pre_miRNA from 1 species
UAUAAGGGAUUUUGAGUUUUUGUUUGCACUCUUUGAUCACUCGUCUUAUUCAAAAAAAAUUUGGAGUUAUUAUUUUUUUUUUGACUUGCUAUAUUAUCCAAAGUACUUUAAGCACAACUUUUCGUUUUUUAUAUUUGCACAAAUUUUUUGAAUAAGACGAGUGGUCAAACAGGGCAAGCAAAAACUCAAAAUCCCUUAUA